rnacentral:SRP_RNA from 1 species
ACGUUGGUCCCGCGCGAUGCGGCCCGUGAACCCCGUCAGGUCCGGAAGGAAGCAGCGGUAAGCGGCAAACCGCAGGCGCCGCGGAUAAGCCUGCGGACG